AGAAGAAACAGGAAAUCUCAUUUAUUAUUAUUUGUGUUUACAUGGUUGGCACAGAGACCAACUGACAACAGAGAUACCUCCUUGAGAUGGGAUUUAAGUGAUUUGAAUGGGCAGAAGGCAAGAACAGUAGCAGAAGGGUAAUAAAAAUACCAUGAUUUUUCUACAAAGCAUACAGACUCUGAAAGAGACCAAGCACCAUUUGUCCUAUUUUUCCCUCACUCUGUUCUUAAGUCGGCUAUGUGGAAUUUCUUGUCUACAAUUUCUUGAUGCUUUUGAACUUUGUGGGAUAAAUAUAUUUUUGAUUCUUUGUGGAUAUGCAUGGGUUCUUUGAAAUUAUAUGUUAUUUGCAAAUGUAAAUUGGCUAUACUCAUAUCAUUCUGGGAGAGAAAAAGUAUUUUUUGGUUGUAGGAGUUUAAUAAAAGUACUCUUUCGAUUUUCAUUUACGACAAAAUGAACUUUUGAUGUUUAUUAUGCUAAAUUGGAUUUAAUUAGCUUUUAUUAAAACUUUAUUGUAAGGUAUUGAGGUAAAAAAUAUCAUAUUAAUCAGAUCCAAGUCUAUACAGUUCAGUGAACUAUGAAGUUAUAAUGGGCAUUCUGAAGCUAUGGAGUAUCAUAGUUUUUUUUUAAUUGAUACUUAAUUUAAUAAAUAUUUAGUGUACCUGCUUUUGUAUGUGUAGUGUUCAUGACCCUGGUGUAACGGUGUUAAAUGUCAAUUUGCAAAUAGUUUGUUAACACAUUUUGAAAAACACAUUAUUAUGCUUCAGUCAUCAACAUUUAUUUCUAUUCAUAUGGAUCUAAUGUCCAUAAGCUAUAAUUUAUAUGAACUUAUUAUAAUAAUGCUCCUUAAACAUCUUUUAUAGCCAAUAGAUGUAACAUAGAUAAGAAAGCAAUAUAGUAUAUUUCUGUUAAAAUCAAGAUAAUCAGUACAGAAAAAUCUACAAUCACAUUUGCCUUUGUUGCUGAAGGCAUGAGCCUUAAAUAUGAUUUAUGACACCUUUGUAUUAAUUUCAAAGUUCUUUCUAACCGCACGGUUUGAAUGAAAAUUUAAUGUACUCUGAAUAGUUAGCAAAAGUUAUUUUUCUUUUCAGAUUAAUUUAAAAAGCCACAUGGCACAUCCAUUCAUGACGCCCCAUGGUUUUUGUGUUAUUCUCUUUAUUUAAAAUCAUCAUUAUUAUAUCCACAAUAUACAUUAAGGAUUUUGUUUUCUUCGCCCUCUUGAAAAUAAUUCAAGGUUUUCUCAUGGCUUCAACAGCUUUUACUUAAGCAGACACCUGAAGAUUUAGUCAUUAAAAGCUCACCUAUAGAGUUAGGGAUGAGAUUGGGUCCCAAGCCCACUCAUUCCCAACUGUGGAAACUAAGUAGCCUCUGUUUUAGUUGUUCUUCUCUUGUAAUAAUAAGUCCCGAUUAAAAACAGCUCAAAGGAGGAAGAACCUAUUUUGGAUCACUGCCUGAACUUGAUUCCAUCAUAGCAAGGAAGUCCAAGAUAUCCUCAAGCAACUGCUCACACAGUACUUACAGUCAGGAGUUAAGAGAGUGCCGCAUAUCAGUGCUUACUUAGUACACUAUCUCCAUUUGACACCGUCCAGCAGCCCUACCCAGAGAUUUGCCCCAACCACAGUUAAAAUUGGUCUUCCUACAUAUAUUAACCCAAACAAGGUCAUCCCUUGCAGACAUGUUCUCGCACUAAAGAAUCCUUGAGAGAUUUACUGGGAGACCCCUGUGAGUCCCGUUGCUUUUGACAGAUAGCACUUGACAGCCUUACAUAACCUCCUUUCUUUUAGUCUCCUUACUAGCUAAAACAAAAUAAAAUGUACUGUCAGAAAAUUGUGUAGGAAGUCAUAUGGAUGUGUAUAUAUAGCCUGGCAUUUGCUUCUCCCCUGGUGUGAAUCUUAUGGACCUCAGAAUUGGAGGCUUAGUCCACAUUAGUAAGUCACUCCUGCUAAGGCUAAUGUUUCUCUGUGGUAUAGCUUGGCUAUGAUCCUUGGGCUCUCCUUUAAAUAUUACAGACUCCCCAUCCCCACAGAGCCUUGAUCUUCACAUUACUCUUUCCUUUGUCCAAAUGCUAAUCACCUUUUAACUUAUGAUUUAUUUGUCUACAAUUCAUUGUUCAUCAUCUCACAUGUCACACUUGGAAAGUAAAUACAACAAAAUAUUUUUCUAUUUUUUGUUUCUAACAUUAUGUUUCGUGGAUUCUCCGUAUCAAAGUUUUAAUGAACUAUAACAAAUCUGCAUAACUUCUAUCUCCAAAUUAGGUAGGAAAAUGUUAUAUUUAUACUUGCCAAGGCACAGAGAGAUAAUUAUCAGGGGUUCUAGAUAAUACACGAGGCUGUGAAAGUUGAUGUCAAAGAAAUUGAGGGAAGAGUAGUCAUUGACAACUCUUGGGGAAGUGUGAGUGAGUCAGAAGGAAGUAGAGAGAGAACGGUUAAUGACAAGGCACAGAUAGGCAGGAGUAAUAAUUUCCAAUGUUUUAUAGCCUACGGGAUAACUGAUUGGCAACAACUGAUUGAAUAUUUCAAAAUAGCUAGUAGAGAGGAUUUUGCAUGCUCAUAGCACACAAAAAUGAUUAAUGUUUAAUGUGGUAAAUAUACCAUGUGUCCUAAUGCAAUCAUUACGAAAAGUUUGCAAGUACUAAAACCUCAUACUGAUCCCACAAAUGUACAAAUUUCUAUGUGUCUAAUUUAAAUUGCAAAUUAAGAGGGAGCAUUGAAAAAGAUUGAUAGUUAUAAUUUCGACACCUUUAAAAUUAAAAUUUUAUAAAUUCAUCAAUUUAGUAUAACAUGUUAAUUAAAAUACAUUUUGAGUUACUCAUAACAUUCAGAAAUAGUCUCGAUGUGGCAAUUAGAAUGAUCAGAGACUAUUGAGAUGCAUGGAUAUCGUUGUUUCAACUGCAGUAGACCUUGCAUCCUGCCUUCUUUACCUAGUCACUAUAGAUUAUGAACUAAUCUUUUCUUAUGUUAUUUAUGAUAAUCAGCUCUACUAGUAUCGCUGCCUAUCUCCAUAGUCCAUUUUCUGAUUCUGGAUGUGAUUUCUGCAGUCAAAAUAUAAGGAAUUCCAAGAUAGUUUCCAUCUGGGGCUUUUUAAAACUAAAUAGCAUGAAUGAAGUUCAUUUGCUUUGUAAUGUCACUGACAGCUGAAGGCCAUUCAUGACUAUCACUUCUUUCCUCUGGGAUAUGUUUUGCUUAGAAGAGCCAAACAAGAUAACAGAUCUAGUGGUAUUUAGAAAGGACACAGCUAAUUUACAGUUAAUAGCACAAUGUAUUUAUUCAGUUUAAACUAGAGUCUAGUAAAUAUAUUGAUAGUAUGACUC
rnacentral:lncRNA from 1 species